CCUACGGGUGGCAGCAGUGGGGAAUAUUGGACAAUGGGCGAAAGCCUGAUCCAGCCAUGCCGCGUGUGUGAAGAAGGCCUUCGGGUUGUAAAGCACUUUCAGUGGGGAAGAAAGCCUUGGGGCUAAUACCCUCGAGGAAGGACAUCACCCACAGAAGAAGCACCGGCUAACUCCGUGCCAGCAGCCGCGGUAAUACGGAGGGUGCGAGCGUUAAUCGGAAUUACUGGGCGUAAAGCGCGCGUAGGCGGUCUGAUAAGCAGGUUGUGAAAGCCCCGGGCUCAACCUGGGAACGGCAUCCGGAACUGUCAGGCUAGAGUGCAGGAGAGGAAGGUAGAAUUCCCGGUGUAGCGGUGAAAUGCGUAGAGAUCGGGAGGAAUACCAGUGGCGAAGGCGGCCUUCUGGACUGACACUGACGCUGAGGUGCGAAAGCGUGGGUAGCAAACAGGAUUAGAUACCCCUGUAGUC
rnacentral:rRNA from 1 species